CCAGAAGAAAAACAGGAGGACACAUCAAGAGGGCUUUCCACCUAUUGGAUUCAGCUGGACAUCAGGUGAAAGUGAAGCACGGGAAAUGCACCCUGCAGUGGCUGGCCUUAUGAUACAGAGCAAUGCAUGAAGUGUUUCAGGAGUGGAUCUGAGCACAGGUAGGUCUAGGAUUGUCUUUCCAAUAUUCAUGCCUCUAAAUUCUUUUUCUCAUUUUAUUGCACUGGUGAGUACUUGCAGCACAAAUUUGAAGAGUGGUUGGGAUAGGAAGUCUCCUUGCAUAUUACUGAUUUGGUAGGAUUAAUUCUAAUGUUUCAGCCUUAAAUAGGAUGCUUAUGAUUGCUUAUAAUUACUAUUUAUCAAAUUUAAAAAAUCAAAUCCUUUGUAGCAUAUACUGAGAUGAUUAUAUAAGAUUAUAUAUAUACACACACCCAUGUAUACAUGUUAAUUUACUAUAUUAGUGUAGUGAGUUGCAGUCAUAGAUUUGCUAAUGAGCAAAGGUGAAUCACCCUUCCAAUGUUUGAAAAAAACUUACUUUGUUAGAGUGUAUUGUUCCUUUUUGGUAAAGUGCCUUAUUAGAUUUCUUAAUAUUUUAUUUACCUAUCUACAUAGGUGUUAUGAAACUAGAGGAUUAUGCUAGCCAUGAGAAUGGCUGAAGACUAUCUUUUCUAUACCUUGUAUAUAUAAAGUUUUACUUGUCUUUGACUGUUUAGAACUUACUUAAAAUCUGAUGUUUGAUGCCUUUUUAAGGGGUAGAGUUUUCAUAACCUUUCCAAGUUCUUCCAUAACCAUGCUUUCUUUCCUUCCUUAGCUACCUGCUAAAAGUUGCUUUAACAAAAUUUUGUCUGGUCAGGAAGGCAGGACAGUUUAUGGGCAUCUUGGUUUCUGACUCUAUCCACCUGCCUUAGAGACAUAGCCCUUGUGCAGUUGAGGGACGUUGCAUAACCAAGAUGCAUGUUCUAAAACUAAUGAUUUGCAUAGGAGAAAUAUGUUCCUCAUUAGGUUUCAAUCUGGAAAAUGGUGUAAAGAAAGAUUUUUCACCUUAGAAGCCACUAAUUCCGUUAUUUCAGGGAUAUAUGUAUCUGAUUGAAACUCACUUAGAAGUAAACAGUGGUAUCAACUUAGCCAAGGAAAUGCUGUCUUGGGGAAAGUAUCCCAGAAAUCUUUUCAGAUGUGAGGUGAGAAAGUGCUAUUAUAUUUGGAUAGAAAGUGGGCCAUUCCCAGGGUGAGCUACUUUAGCUAAUUAAAUCCAUUUUAAGACCAGAAGUCCUUUUGUAACCUCAGAACCCCAAACUGGCCUGUCUCUAACAAAAUAUACCGAGUUGCUUUUCAGAGACCACAGAACCAAACCACCAGUUAUGCAGCUGAACAGAGGAGAAAAUCUUGACCUCAGACAACACCCAGAACAAUUUCUACGCCCACAAAGCCAAAGGAACAGGACAUGACCAGAAUGCCGGAACACUUUCAGAUGUGAAGGGUCCUUUGUCCUGGAAUAUCUGGGGCUGAAGCCCCUUUACGACACCUUACCCUAAAGGGCCAAGUUCCAAAGCCCUCCAAUGGAAACUUGCCAAACCAAUGCUUGUGCAAAAUAACCCUCCUCGCCUAACUCAUAAAAGUUUGACUGAACCCUGGAUAAGACAAACUUGAGCUGUGCUCCCUGUAUCUUUUCUGGUUGAUCUUGCAAUAAAGCUUUUUCUUUCUCAAAA